AUGGGCAUGUGUGACGUGUAAGAGGGCGCCAUUUAAUCAGACAGGCCUGUGAAACACUUUCAAGAGUCCAGGGCUGGCAGUGAGAGGGGAUUCCACAGCAUUGAGAGAGACCAGAUGGCUGGCAACAAAAUUCCAGAUCCAGGAAAGGUCCAGCAUCUACAUAUCCAUCCACUUUUAGUCUCCUGAUUAGCUUUCCUCUGUCAGAAACCUCUGCAAAGAGCCUAGUGAUAGACAAGCCAAUGUUCCACUUCUCCUUAGCCCCGCU